ACCCGCUGAACUUAAGCAUAUCAAUAAGCGGAGGAAAAGAAACCAACAGGGAUUGCCCUAGUAACGGCGAGUGAAGCGGCAACAGCUCAAAUUUGAAAUCUGGCUCCUUUUAGGGGUCCGAGUUGUAAUUUGCAGAGGGUGCUUUGGCGUUGGCUGUGGCCUAAGUUCCUUGGAACAGGACGUCUUAGAGGGUGAGAAUCCCGUAUGUGGCUGCCAGCCUUUGCCGUGUAAAGCCCCUUCGACGAGUCGAGUUGUUUGGGAAUGCAGCUCUAAUUGGGAGGUAAAUUUCUUCUAAAGCUAAAUAUUUGCUGGAGACCGAUAGCGCACAAGUAGAGUGAUCGAAAGAUGAAAAGCACUUUGGAAAGAGAGUGAAAAAGCACGUGAAAUUGUUGAAAGGGAAGCGCUUGCAGCUAGACGUGCUGGUAGUUGCUCAACUAGGCUUUUGGCCUGGUUAACUCUUCUAUCAGCAGGCCAGCAUCAGUUUAGGCGGUUGGAUAAAGGCCUAUUAAACGUGACUCCCUUCGGGGAGAGCUUAUAGGGUAGGCGACAUGCAACCAGUCUGGACUGAGGUUCCGCGCAUAUGCUAGGAUGCUGGCGUAAUAGCUGUAAACGGCCCGUCUUGAAACACGGAACC
rnacentral:rRNA from 1 species